rnacentral:tRNA from 2 species
GGCCCUAUCGUCUAGUGGUUAGGACAUCAGGUUUUCAUCCUGGUAACGGGGGUUCGAUUCCCCCUAGGGCUA